AUUAUUUGUGUCAGAAGUGACCGUUUUUUUUUUCUUUCAUUCUUAGCACAAGAAAUAGGAGAAAGCAGCGGUACUAACCAUAUAUAUGCGGAUCAUUCUUCUUUAAAAUUCAGCUCAUGCUCGACCAUUUUUCUUGAAGACACCACAGCCAGCUGCCCUCAUUUUAAAAUGAC